GAAAGUAGCCGGGCGUGGUGGCGCGCCUGUAGUCCCAGCUACUCCGGAGGCUGAGGCUGGAGGAUCGCUUGAGUCCAGGAGUUCUGGGCUGUAGUGGCUAUGCUGAUCGGGUGUCCACACUAAGUUCGGCAUCAAUAUGGUGACCUCCCGGGAGCGGGGUACCACCAGGUUGCCUAAGGAGGGGUGAACCGGCCCAGGUCGGAAACGGAGCAGGUCAAAACUCCCGUGCUGAUCAGAAGAGCACACUGUCU